CCUACGGGAGGCAGCAGUGGGGAAUAUUGGGCAAUGGAGGAAACUCUGACGCAGCAACGCCGCGUGAGGGAAGAAGGUCUUCGGAUUGUAAACCUCUGUCCUCAGGGACGAAAAAAAUGACGGUACCUGAGGAGGAAGCCCCGGCUAACUACGUGCCAGCAGCCGCGGUAAU
rnacentral:rRNA from 1 species